rnacentral:rRNA from 1 species
UACGUAGGGUCCGAGCGUUGUCCGGAGUUACUGGGCGUAAAGCGCGCGCAGGCGGCGGUGCUGGCCCGGCGUGAAAGCCCCCGGCUCAACCGGGGAGAGUCGUCGGGGACCGCACCGCUUGAGGGCGGUAGGGGCUGGUGGAAUGCCUGGUGUAGUGGUGAAAUGCGUAGAGAUCAGGCAGAACACCUGGGGCGAAGGCGGCCAGCUGGGCCGUCCCUGACGCUGAGGCGCGAAGGCGUGGGAAGCGAACGGG